GACGAACGCUGGCGGCGUGCCUAAUACAUGCAAGUUGAGCGAUGAAGAUUGGUGCUUGCACCAAUUUGAAGAGCAGCGAACGGGUGAGUAACGCGUGGGGAAUCUGCCUUUGAGCGGGGGACAACAUUUGGAAACGAAUGCUAAUACCGCAUAACAACUUUAAACAUAAGUUUUAAGUUUGAAAGAUGCAAUUGCAUCACUCAAAGAUGAUCCCGCGUUGUAUUAGCUAGUUGGUGAGGUAAAGGCUCACCAAGGCGAUGAUACAUAGCCGACCUGAGAGGGUGAUCGGCCACAUUGGGACUGAGACACGGCCCAAACUCCUACGGGAGGCAGCAGUAGGGAAUCUUCGGCAAGGGACGAAAGUCUGACCGAGCAACGCCGCGUGAGUGAAGAAGGUUGUCGGAUCGUAAAACUCGGUUGGUAGAGAAGAACGUUGGUGAGAGUGGAAAGCUCAUCAAGUGACGGUAACUACCCAGAAAGGGACGGCUAACUACGUG
rnacentral:rRNA from 1 species